rnacentral:rRNA from 1 species
AUUGAACGCUGGCGGAAUGCUUUACACAUGCAAGUCGAACGGCAGCACGGACUUCGGUCUGGUGGCGAGUGGCGAACGGGUGAGUAAUGUAUCGGAACGUGCCCAGUCGUGGGGGAUAACGUAGUGAAAAUUACGCUAAUACCGCAUACGAUCUAUGGAUGAAAGCGGGGGAUCGCAAGACCCCGCGCGAUUGGAGCGGCCGAUAUCAGAUUAGGUAGUUGGUGGGGUAAAGGCCCACCAAGCCAACGAUCUGUAGCUGGUCUGAGAGGACGACCAGACACACUGGAACUGAGACACGGUCCAGACUCCUACGGGAGGCAGCAGUGGGGAAUUUUGGACAAUGGGCGAAAGCCUGAUCCAGCCAUUCCGCGUGCAGGAUGAAGGCCCUCGGGUUGUAGACUGCUUUUGUACAGAACGAAAAGGUUUCUACUAAUACUAGGAGCUCAUGACGGUACUGUAAGAAUAAGCACCGGCUAACUACGUGCCAGCAGCCGCCGUAA